rnacentral:rRNA from 1 species
ACGGAGCAAUCCUGGUGGCGAGUGGCGAACGGGUGAGUAAUAUAUCGGAACGUGCCCAGUCGUGGGGAUAACGUAGCGAAAGCUACGCUAAUACCGCAUACGAUCUAAGGGAUGAAAGCGGGGGAUCGCAAGACCUCGCGCGAUUGGAGCGGCCGAUAUCAGAUUAGGUAGUUGGUGAGGUAAAGGCUCACCAAGCCAACGAUCUGUAGCUGGUCUGAGAGGACGACCAGCCACACUGGAACUGAGACACGGUCCAGACUCCUACGGGAGGCAGCAGUGGGGAAUUUUGGACAAUGGACGCAAGUCUGAUCCAGCCAUUCCGCGUGCAGGAUGAAGGCCCUCGGGUUGUAAACUGCUUUUGUACGGAACGAAAAGGUUUGUCUUAAUACGAUGAGCUCAUGACGGUACCGUAAGAAUAAGCACCGGCUAACUACGUG